AUGCUAAGAAAAAUCAAUUUGUUUCAAAGUCCUUGGAUGUCCCUAAAGGCUUUGCAGUCUAUGUUGGGGAGAAUCAAAAGAAGCAUUUUAUGAUUCCGCUAUCAUAUACUUGAACCAAUCUUCUUUCCAGGAGUUGUUAAGUCCAGGGGAAGAUGAAUUUGCGUAUGAACAUCCUGUGGGUUGUAUCACAAUCCCUUGCAGUGAAGACACCUUCCUCUAUCUCACGAUCAUCUCUCGCCUUGGUGUAUGA
rnacentral:lncRNA from 1 species